UGCCGGUGCAAGCCGGAGGAAGGUGGGGAUGACGUCAAAUCAUCAUGCCCCUUAUGACCUGGGCUACACACGUGCUACAAUGGAUGGUACAAAGGGUCGCGAAGCCGCGAGGUGGAGCCAAUCCCAUAAAACCAUUCUCAGUUCGGAUUGUAGGCUGCAACUCGCCUACAUGAAGCCGGAAUCGCUAGUAAUCGUGGAUCAGCAUGCCACGGUGAAUACGUUCCCGGGCCUUGUACACACCGCCCGUCACACCACGAGAGUUUGUAACACCCGAAGUCGGUAGGGUAACCUUUAUGGAGCCAGCCGCCGAAGGUGGGACAGAUAAUUGGGGUGAAGUCGUAACAAGGUAGCCGUAUCGGAAGGUGCGGCUGGAUCACC
rnacentral:rRNA from 2 species